rnacentral:ncRNA from 1 species
UGCCUACUGCCCGUUAUCGCGGUAGGAACUCGGCCGCGCUGUGGGAUGGUACGAAACAUCCUUAGACGUUCAUCGUCAAGGGUUCGGUGUGAGGUGGGGUUCGAUGCCC